GUAUGACCGCUCCGUUGGUUUAGUGGUUACAGCGUCCGUCUCGGAUGCGGGAGGUCGCGGGUUCAAACCCCGGCCGAGUUAUACC